AUUGAACGCUGGCGGCAGGCCUAACACAUGCAAGUCGAACGAGUGGCGGACGGGUGAGUAAUGUAUGGGAAACUGCCCGAUGGAGGGGGAGAACUACUGGAAACGGUAGCUAAUACCGCAUACCAGCGGAUGUGCCCAGAUGGGAUUAGGUAGUAGGUGGGGUAACGGCUGACCUAGGCGACGAUCCCUAGCUGGUCUGAGAGGAUGAGCAGCCACACUGGAACUGAUACACGGUCCAGACUCCUACGGGAGGCAGCAGUGGGGAAUAUUGCACAAUGGGCGCAAGCCUGAUGCAGCCAUGCCGCGUGUAUGAAGAAGGCCCUCGGGUUGUAAAGUACUUUCAGCGGGGAGGCGUUACUCGCAGAAGAAGCACCGGCUAACUCCGUGCCAGCAGCCGCGGUAAUUC
rnacentral:rRNA from 1 species